CAGCCGCCGCGGUAAUACCGGCGGCCCGAGUGGCGGUCACUAUUAUUGGGCUUAAAGCGUCCGUAGCCGGGGUGGGGAGUCCUCCGGGAAAUCUGGCCGCUUAACGGUCAGAAUGCCGGAGGAUACUCCCAGCCUAGGGAGCGGGAGAGGCCGGGGGGAUUCCCGGAGUAGGGGUGGAAUCCUAUAAUCCCGGGAGGACCACCUGUGGCGAAGGCGCUCGGCGGGAACGCGGCCGACGGUGAGGGACGAAGGCCAGGGGAGCAAACCGGAUUAGAUACCCGGGUAGUCCUGGCUGUAAACGAUGCGGACUUUGUGUCGGACAAGCUAUGAGCUUGUCCGGUGCCGGAGGGAAACCGUUAAGUCCGCCGCCUGGGGAGUCCGGCCGCACGGCUGAAACUUAAAGGAAUUGGCGGG
rnacentral:rRNA from 1 species